rnacentral:lncRNA from 1 species
AAAAAGAACAACAUAAACCACCCAGGAUAAUCUCCUUAUUUCAAGAGCCUGAGCUUUGUCAUAUCUUUACCGGAUUAAGUCACAAUCACAGAUUCCGAGAAAUGGAACCUGAGACCUUGGAUGACCACCAUUCAGUGCACUACCCAGAGUUAGAAGGAACAUUGUAAGAAAUCGGCCAGAUCCCAUAAUGACACGGGAAUAUUCACAACGAUCUUCCAGGAGCCAAGCUUCUGAUGUUCUUACAUUUCCAGGGGAGGUUAGUUCAGAUGAUAAACUGAGACUCUACAACUUGUUUUCCUUUUUUGGUAAGUUAAUAUUUACCUUGGCAAUGUUGACAUUUCUGAACUUUCAUUUUGGCUUUCAUUUAGCAAUAAAUACUGUCACAGGAAAGCAGACAGGGUGUCCAGCAGGGAUAUUCUGUGACAUUGUGAUUUAUGUUGAUUUGUAGGCAAACACUUUUUCCUCCUUAGCUAUUUUUUAAUUUUAUUGAAGAAAAGAUGCUGUGCACUAUAGAAUGUGGUAUAAUAAUUUGUAAAAUUGUGAAACCUUGUUUAAAA